rnacentral:piRNA from 1 species
UAACUUUAAUAACACAAAAGGUGCCAUAU